rnacentral:rRNA from 1 species
UUUAGCGACCAUAGCACAGCGGUCCCACCUGAUCCCAUGCCGAACUCAGAAGUGAAACGUUGUAGCGCCGAUGGUAGUGUGGGGCCUCCCAUGUGAGUAGGACAUCGCUAAAU